UCCAUCCAUUUUCUUUACACCCUUGUCCCUUAGUGGGAUCGGGAGGGUUGCUGGUGCCUAUCUCCAGCUAACGUUCCUGGCAAGAGGCGGGGUUCCCCCUGGACAGGUUGCCA